rnacentral:rRNA from 1 species
UGGGGAAUAUUGGACAAUGGGCGCAAGCCUGAUCCAGCCAUGCCGCGUGAGUGAAGAAGGCCUUCGGGUUGUAAAGCUCUUUUGUCCGGAAAGAAAUCCUGUCGGCUAAUACCCGGCGGGGAUGACGGUACCGGAAGAAUAAGCACCGGCUAACUUCGUGCCAGCAGCCGCGGUAAUACGAAGGGUGCAAGCGUUACUCGGAAUUACUGGGCGUAAAGCGUGCGUAGGUGGUUCGUUAAGUCUGAUGUGAAAGCCCUGGGCUCAGCCUGGGAACUGCAUUGGAUACUGGCGAUCUGGAGUGCGGUAGAGGGUAGCGGAAUUCCCGGUGUAGCAGUGAAAUGCGUAGAUAUCGGGAGGAACAUCCGUGGCGAAGGCGGCUACCUGGACCAGCACUGACACUGAGGCACGAAAAGCGUGGGGGAGCAAAACAGGAUUGGAUACCCUGGUAGUCCACGCCCUAAAACGAUGCGAACUGGAUGUUGGGUGCAACUUGGCACUCAGUAUCGAAGCUAACGCGUUAAGUUCGCCGCCUGGGAAGUACGGUCGCAAGACUGAAACUCAAAUGAAUUGACGGGGUCAUAGCUGUUUCCU